rnacentral:rRNA from 1 species
AACGAACGCUGGCGGCAUGCCUAACACAUGCAAGUCGAACGAGACCUUCGGGUCUAGUGGCGCACGGGUGCGUAACGCGUGGGAACCUGCCCUUAGGUUCGGAAUAACUCCCCGAAAGGGGUGCUAAUACCGGAUAAUGUCUUCGGACCAAAGAUUUAUCGCCUUUGGAUGGGCCCGCGUUGGAUUAGCUAGUUGGUAGGGUAAAAGCCUACCAAGGCGACGAUCCAUAGCUGGUCUGAGAGGAUGAUCAGCCACACUGGGACUGAGACACGGCCCAGACUCCUACGGGAAGCAGCAGUGGGGAAUAGUGGACAAUGGGCGGAAGCCUGAUCCAGCAAUGCCGCGUGAGUGAUGAAGGCCUUAGGGUUGUAAAGCUCUUUUACCCGGGAUGAUAAUGACAGUACCGGGAGAAUAAGCUCCGGCUAACUCCGUG